UUACGCUGUUAUCCCUAAGGUAACUUAAUCUAAUAAUCAAUAGUAAUGGAUCUAAUAUUCAUAAAUCAAUGUUAUGUAGAUAAAAAAGUUAAAUAUAUAUUUUUGUCACCCCAACAAAACACAAAGAAAUAUAAAAAUAUUAAUAUAUAAAUAUUUAAAUAAAAUUAUGUAAAGAUCUAUAGGGUAUUCUCGUCUUCCAAUAGAAUUUUAGCUUUUUAACUAAAAAAUUAAAUUUUAAAACAAAUAAAAUGAGACAGUCAGUUCCUCGUUAAACCUUUCAUUCCAGCCCUCUAUUAAAAGACUAAUGAUUAUGCUACCUUUGCACGGUCAGUAUACCGCGGCCGUUGAAAUCCUCACUGGGCAGGUCAGACCUUCAAUUAAAUUCAAAAGGACAUGUUUUUGUUAAACAGGCG
rnacentral:rRNA from 1 species